GCGCCUCUCGGCGGGGCCGGGCGCGGGCGGGCUCGGGGCGAGAUGGAGCCGUGACCAGUGACUGCGGAGAGAGCUGCUGGCAUGGAAGUGAGCUGGGUUUGUCCGUGGGAACUGUGAGUAAGGGUUCAGAUUGCUAGCACAGUGGGAAAACAAGCAUGUUCCAAGGUGUAGCUUUUCAUCAGAACAGCAAGCUGAAUUGACUUGCUCUGGGGCUGCAGUCACUACUUGAAGGAGAGAAGGUGAGAAUUUCAAACUGAG
rnacentral:lncRNA from 1 species